AAUUGGAGGGCAAGUCUGGUGCCAGCAGCCGCGGUAAUUCCAGCUCCAAUAGCGUAUAUUAAAGUUGUUGCAGUUAAAAAGCUCGUAGUUGAAUUUCGGGAUCAAUAUUUCGGUCAUGCCGUUGGUAUGCACUGUUAUCAUUGAUUUCUCACCUUCUAAAGAACCGUAAUGCCAUUAAUUUGGUGUUGCGGGGAAUUUGGACUGUUACUUUGAAAAAAUUAGAGUGUUUAAAGCAGGCUCACGCUUGAAUACAUUAGCAUGGAAUAAUGAAAUAGGACAUCCGAUUCUAUUUUGUUGGUUUCUAGGAUCGAUGUAAUGAUUAAUAGGGAUAGUUGGGGGCAUUAGUAUUCAAUUGUCAGAGGUGAAAUUCUUGGAUUUAUUGAAGACUAACUACUGCGAAAGCAUUUGCCAAGGAUGUUUUCAUUAAUCAAGAACGAAAGUUAGGGGAUCGAAGACGAUCAGAUACCGUCGUAGUCUUAACCAUAAACUAUGCCGACUAGGGAUCGGAUGAUGUUAAUUUUUUAAUGACUCAUUCGGCGCCUUACGGGAAACCAAAGUGU
rnacentral:rRNA from 1 species